ACGCUGGCGGCAGGCUUAACACAUGCAAGUCGAACGGUAACAGGGAUUAGCUUGCUAAUUUGCUGACGAGUGGCGGACGGGUGAGUAAUGCUUGGGAAUCUGGCUUAUGGAGGGGGAUAACUACGGGAAACUGUAGCUAAUACCGCGUAAAAUCUUAGGAUUAAAGGGUGGGACUUUCGAGCCACCUGCCAUAAGAUGAGCCCAAGUGGGAUUAGGUAGUUGGUUAGGUAAAGGCUGACCAAGCCGACGAUCUCUAGCUGGUCUGAGAGGAUGACCAGCCACACUGGAACUGAGACACGGUCCAGACUCCUACGGGAGGCAGCAGUGGGGAAUAUUGCACAGUGGGGGGAACCCUGAUGCAGCCAUGCCGCGUGAAUGAAGAAGGCCUUCGGGUUGUAAAGUUCUUUCGGUGACGAGGAAGGUUGAUAGGUUAAUAGCCUAUCAAAUUGACGUUAAUCACAGAAGAAGCACCGGCUAACUCCGUGCCAGCAGCCGCGGUAAUACGGGGGGUGCGAGCGUUAAUCGGAAUAACUGGGCGUAAAGGGCACGCAGGCGGUGACUUAAGUGAGAUGUGAAAGCCCCGAGCUUAACUUGGGAAUUGCAUUUCAUACUGGGUCGCUAGAGUACUUUAGGGAGGGGUAGAAUUCCACGUGUAGCGGUGAAAUGCGUAGAGAUGUGGAGGAAUACCGAAGGCGAAGGCAGCCCCUUGGGAAUGUACUGACGCUCAUGUGCGAAAGCGUGGGGAGCAAACAGGAUUAGAUACCCUGGUAGUCCACGCUGUAAACGAUGUCGAUUUGGGGAUUGGGCUUUGAGCUUGGUGCCCGUAGCUAACGUGAUAAAUCGACCGCCUGGGGAGUACGGCCGCAAGGUUAAAACUCAAAUGAAUUGACGGGGGCCCGCACAAGCGGU
rnacentral:rRNA from 1 species